rnacentral:tmRNA from 3 species
GGGGCUGUUUUGGUUUCGACGGGAAAUUGAAAGCUGGUCCUGUGAUUCAGGCCGAGAGUGAGUCUCCUCUCGAUAAUCCAAGGCUCAAACAAAAAAGUAACUGCGAACAACAUCGUUCCAUUUGCUCGUAAAGCGGCCACUGUUGCUGCCUAAUAACCUCUCAUAGGUUCGAGCGUCUGUAGUUUGACUCCGUUAAGGACUAUAGACCAACCCCCAACGGAUGCUCUAACAAGAUUACUCUGGUUGCUUGUUAGCUAAGACUUAACCAUUGCAUCCUAUCAUCCGGGAUAAUGGAUGGUUCCCGCCUUGAGGAUUAGAAAGGCUACGCCUGUGAACGAGUGGGAAGUUAAUAGGUUUUUCGGAAAGCGGUUCGAUUCCGCUCAGCUCCAUUA